rnacentral:lncRNA from 1 species
AGUUUGGGGUUUAGGGCAGACUGCUGUUCCAUAGUACAGGGUUCCAAGGCUGUAGCCUGCAGUAGUGGGAGGUCCUGGGCUUCCCUCUGGUACCACCAGAGGUAGUGGUAAAACCCUGCAAUGGAGAGAAAGGUCUCUGAGAGGUGCAGUGGCCUAGAAGUGCCAAGGAUUGCUUGAUCUCUGAUAUAAAGAGAGAGGAGGAGCCCCCUUCAGCCACAGGGGAAGGAUGUAAUGGUUGCCAGAGUCUAGGCAGGGGCCUUUUUUGGAGGAAGAUGGGUGUCUUUUGAUUUGACUAGAGGGCUAAAUUGCCCUACCAGCCCUGGGAAGACAGUAGUCAUUUGGAAAACUGAGGCAUGAUCGCACACCUGCCUUCAGAGAGACACCCUGAAACCUUCAGCAGAAGUGAAAUGUGUUUCCUGAACCAAGGUGAAGAGCCCCCUAUUCUAAUCAGAGAGGCAGUAUGUUGUGGCCAGUUGCCAAACAGCCAGGGCUCUGGACAUGAUGGAAACUUGAGAAGAAGCAUUGCACAUCUGCACCUUUAGUUGGCGUAGCAAACAAGAAGCUGUUCUCCACCUUGGGCCAACAAGGGGAGACAACCUGUUUUCAAGAAUGGUGAGUGUCAAUGAGGGCACAAUGGUCCUGAUUUCACACCAAUGAAAGGGCCCAAUCCUGCAAGUUGCUGAGUGCCGUCAACUCCCAUAGUGGUCCACGGGUGUGGAAAGCAUUGAGCGCUCUGCAGGAUCAGGCCCUUAGAAUCAUAGAUUAGGGUUGGGAGAGACCUCAGGAGGUCAUCCAGUCCAACCCCCUACUCAAAGCAGGACCAACACCAACUAAAUCAUCCCAACCAGGGCUUUGUCAAGCCGGGCCUUAAAAACCUCUAAGGAUGGAGAUUCCACCACCUCCCUAGGUAACCCAUUUCAGUGCUUCAUCACCCUCCUAGUGAAAUAGUGUUUCCUAAUAUCCAACCUAGACCUCCCCCACUGCAACUUGAGACCAUUGCUCCUUGUUCUGUCAUCUGCCACCACUGAGAACAGCCGAGCUCCAUCCUCUUUGGAACCCCCCUUCAUGAGGCAUAACCCCAUCAAAGUUAGUGGAGUUAUACCAGUAAAAAACUAGUGUAAAUGAGAGCACAAACAAGCCUACGGAACUCAAACAGGAAUUUAGGCAGACCUUUUCUGCAUGGGCUGUGGACAUGGAGUUA